rnacentral:rRNA from 1 species
GACGAACGCUGGCGGCGUGCCUAAUACAUGCAAGUCGAGCGGAGCUGGGGGAGCUUGCUCCUUCCAGUUUAGCGGCGGACGGGUGAGUAACACGUGGGCAACCUGCCCUGCAGAUCGGGAUAACUCCGGGAAACCGGUGCUAAUACCGAAUAGUUUGGCGCCUCUCCUGAGGCGCCACGGAAAGACGGUUUCGGCUGUCACUGCAGGAUGGGCCCGCGGCGCAUUAGCUAGUUGGUGGGGUAACGGCCCACCAAGGCGACGAUGCGUAGCCGACCUGAGAGGGUGACCGGCCACACUGGGACUGAGACACGGCCCAGACUCCUACGGGAGGCAGCAGUAGGGAAUCUUCCGCAAUGGACGCAAGCCUGACGGAGCAACGCCGCGUGAGUGACGAAGGUUUUCGGACCGUAAAACUCUGUUGUGAGGGAAGAACACGUACCAACUAACUAUUGGUACCUUGACGGUACCUCACCAGAAAGCCACGGCUAACUACGUGCCAGCCGCCGCGGUAA